CGUGCAGCUGCAGCCCGUCCUCCUGGAGUCCAUCUGCAUCAUCUCCAAUUUUCCAUUACAGUACACUUGCUGGUUUGCUUGUCCCAUUUUACUUGCUGAUUUGCUAUUGUUUUGGUUGGCCAUUCGGAUUUGAUGAUGAAGAAAUCAUGAUCAUCACCACUCUCAUGAUCACAGUCAUGAUCCUAGCGUUUCUUCUGUCAGCAUAGUUUGUGAAGGGAGCUUAGACUUUGAAAAGG